GACGAACGCUGGCGGCGUGCUUAACACAUGCAAGUCGAACGAAGAGCGAUGGAAGCUUGCUUCUAUCAAUCUUAGUGGCGAACGGGUGAGUAACGCGUAAUCAACCUGCCCUUCAGAGGGGGACGACAGUUGGAAACGACUGCUAAUACCGCAUACGAUCUAACCUCGGCAUCGAGGAAAGAUGAAAGGUGGCCUCUAUGUAUAAGCUAUCACUGAAGGAGGGGAUUGCGUCUGAUUAGCUAGUUGGAGGGGUAACGGCCCACCAAGGCGAUGAUCAGUAGCCGGUCUGAGAGGAUGAACGGCCACAUUGGGACUGAGACACGGCCCAGACUCCUACGGGAGGCAGCAGUGGGGAAUCUUCCGCAAUGGACGAAAGUCUGACGGAGCAACGCCGCGUGAGUGAUGACGGCCUUCGGGUUGUAAAGCUCUGUUAAUCGGGACGAAAGGCCUUCUUGCGAAUAGUGAGAAGGAUUGACGGUACCGGAAUAGAAAGCCACGGCUAACUACGUG
rnacentral:rRNA from 1 species